GGAAGCAGGGAGGGUGCGUGAUCGGACUCGUACCCUGAGCAGUUUCCUCUGCCUGCAGGGUGAGCAGUGGGCCUGGAGGAGGGGUGGUGGUUCAAGGGGCGUAUGGGGAGGGGCGUGGGGGGUCC